GACGAACGCUGGCGGCGUGCUUAACACAUGCAAGUCGAACGGAAAGGCCCUGCUUUUGUGGGGUGCUCGAGUGGCGAACGGGUGAGUAACACGUGAGUAACCUGCCCUUGACUUUGGGAUAACUUCAGGAAACUGGGGCUAAUACCGGAUAGGAGCUCCUGCUGCAUGGUGGGGGUUGGAAAGUUUCGGCGGUUGGGGAUGGACUCGCGGCUUAUCAGCUUGUUGGUGGGGUAGUGGCUUACCAAGGCUUUGACGGGUAGCCGGCCUGAGAGGGUGACCGGCCACAUUGGGACUGAGAUACGGCCCAGACUCCUACGGGAGGCAGCAGUGGGGAAUAUUGCACAAUGGGCGGAAGCCUGAUGCAGCAACGCCGCGUGCGGGAUGACGGCCUUCGGGUUGUAAACCGCUUUCGCCUGUGACGAAGCGUGAGUGACGGUAAUGGGUAAAGAAGCACCGGCUAACUACGUGCCAGCAGCCGCGGUGAUACGUAGGGUGCGAGCGUUGUCCGGAUUUAUUGGGCGUAAAGGGCUCGUAGGUGGUUGAUCGCGUCGGAAGUGUAAUCUUGGGGCUUAACCCUGAGCGUGCUUUCGAUACGGGUUGACUUGAGGAAGGUAGGGGAGAAUGGAAUUCCUGGUGGAGCGGUGGAAUGCGCAGAUAUCAGGAGGAACACCAGUGGCGAAGGCGGUUCUCUGGGCCUUUCCUGACGCUGAGGAGCGAAAGCGUGGGGAGCGAACAGGCUUAGAUACCCUGGUAGUCCACGCUGUAAACGGUGGGUACUAGGUGUGGGGUCCAUUCCACGGGUUCCGUGCCGUAGCUAACGCUUUAAGUACCCCGCCUGGGGAGUACGGCCGCAAGGCUAAAACUCAAAGGAAUUGACGGGGCCCCGCACAAGCGGCGGAGCAUGCGGAUUAAUUCGAUGCAACGCGUAGAACCUUACCUGGGUUUGACAUGGAUCGGGAGUGCUCAGAGAUGGGUGUGCCUCUUUUGGGGUCGGUUCACAGGUGGUGCAUGGCUGUCGUCAGCUCGUGUCGUGAGAUGUUGGGCUAAGUCCCGCAACGAGCGCAACCCUUGUUCACUGUUGCCAGCACGUUAUGGUGGGGACUCAGUGGAGACCGCCGGGGUCAACUCGGAGGAAGGUGGGGAUGACGUCAAGUCAUCAUGCCCCUUAUGUCCAGGGCUUCACGCAUGCUACAAUGGCUGGUACAGAGAGUGGCGAGCCUGUGAGGGUGAGCGAAUCUCGGAAAGUCGGUCUCAGUUCGGAUUGGGGUCUGCAACUCGACCUCAUGAAGUCGGAGUCGCUAGUAAUCGCAGAUCAGCAACGCUGCGGUGAAUACGUUCCCGGGGCU
rnacentral:rRNA from 1 species